UACUAUAUAUACCAAGUGGAUGCGAAACAGGAAGUAGAUUGUACAUGAAAUUAUAUUGGUGACGUCACGAGCAGUAUGCCUAUGCUUUUUUCGCUCUAGCGUUAGCCUCUAGUGGCCUUGUUUCUCGAAGUUUUGGGUUCUUGGUCAAGUUACUACUUUGCUGAGUUGAAGUAAGUAUUAUGAAGUCUCUAUUAGCUCGAAUGACCUGCUAAAUCCUUGUUUGCUUGAUCACUGGAUCUCGUUGUGCUGUAAAACAUGGCGGCCUACAGUUCUGACUUUAAACACCUUUUCUCCAAUCUGGGGCAGAGUUAGGUAUGAAUAUGAAACCAAUGAAGCUAAAUUGUCUGUUGUUUCUUGUACUGACUCUUUUCAGAAGAAAUAUAGAUUUUUAUGAAGUUUUUUAUAAUUAUUGAUUUUGCCACCA
rnacentral:lncRNA from 1 species